rnacentral:rRNA from 1 species
UCAGGACGAACGCUGGCGGUGUGCCUCAUACAUGCAAGUCGAACGAUAAGGUCCUUCGGGAAUACAUAAGUGGCGGACGGGUGAGUACAACAUAGGAAAUCUGCCUAAACUGGGGGACAACAGAGGGAAACUUCUGCUAAUACCCCAUACGAGCUUAGUUGAAAUACUAAUCUUGAAAGCUCCGGCGGUUUAGGAUGAGCCUGUGCCUGAUUAGCUAGUUGGUGGUGUAAUGGACUACCAAGGCGACGAUCAGUAGCUGGUUUGAGAGGAUGAUCAGCCACAAUGGGACUGAGACACGGCCCAUACUCCUACGGGAGGCAGCAGUAGGGAAUUUUGCGCAAUGGGGGAAACCCUGAACCGCAGCAACACCGCGUGAAUGUUAAGCCCUUCGGGGUGUAAAGUUCUGUCAGUAGGGAAGAAUAAAUAGACUGUACCUACAAAGGAAGCACCGGCUAACUCCGUGCCAGCAGCGGC